rnacentral:rRNA from 1 species
UAACGUCCGUCGUGAAGAGGGAAACAACCCAGACCGCCAGCUAAGGUCCCAAAGUCAUGGUUAAGUGGGAAACGAUGUGGGAAGGCCCAGACAGCCAGGAUGUUGGCUUAGAAGCAGCCAUCAUUUAAAGAAAGCGUAAUAGCUCACUGGUCGAGUCGGCCUGCGCGGAAGAUGUAACGGGGCUAAACCAUGCACCGAAGCUGCGGCAGCGACGCUGAUGCGUUGUUGGGUAGGGGAGCGUUCUGUAAGCCUGCGAAGGUGUGCUGUGAGGCAUGCUGGAGGUAUCAGAAGUGCGAAUGCUGACAUAAGUAACGAUAAAGCGGGUGAAAAGCCCGCUCGCCGGAAGACCAAGGGUUCCUGUCCAACGUUAAUCGGGGCAGGGUGAGUCGACCCCUAAGGCGAGGCCGAAAGGCGUAGUCGAUGGGAAACAGGUUAAUAUUCCUGUACUUGGUGUUACUGCGAAGGGGGGACGGAGAAGGCUAUGUUGGCCGGGCGACGGUUGUCCCGGUUUAAGCGUGUAG